CGGACAGAGCUGGCGUAUCUGGCCUGCAUUCAGCCGCGACCCGCUGGCGUCAGGGAUGCCGCUCUCCAGAUUGGGACGGUGGUCUGACUGCUCGGUGGGUUUCGUGGUGCAUUUGCAGGUGGAGUGCGCCGAGGCGCUCGGUGCAGCGGCAUGAGCUUGGCUUUGAGGCCAGCCUCGCAAGAGGUCUGGUACCCGGGCCAGGGGAGUGCUGUUUGCGCUGGGCGCAGCAAAGGGCAAUGGUCUCGGGCUCGUGUGGGUGCCGAGCUGGCGGUCGGCGUCGGUCGCGUGCGACACGUGCCAUCAGUCAGUUCGGUCCUGCUCGAGCUCACAUCUGCUCGACCUCGGUGUAAAAGCCGGUCAUCUGUCCGACCCGUCUUGAAACACGGACCAAGGAGUUUAGCGUGUGCGCGAGUCAUUGGGCGUUGAAAACCCAAAGGCGUAAUGAAAGUGAAUGCCUCCCUUGCGGAGCUGAUGUGUGAUCCUGGAUGCCUCGGCAUACUGGGCGCAACAUAGUCCCGUCCCGAUUGCUUGCAAUGGGGCGGAGACAGAGCGUACGCGCUGAG
rnacentral:rRNA from 1 species